AUUGAACGCUGGCGGCAUGCCUUACACAUGCAAGUCGAACGGCAGCACGGGUGCUUGCACCUGGUGGCGAGUGGCGAACGGGUGAGUAAUAUAUCGGAACGUACCUUAUUGUGGGGGAUAACGCAGCGAAAGCUGUGCUAAUACCGCAUAAUCCCUAAGGGGGAAAGCGGGGGACCGUAAGGCCUCGCGCAAUUAGAGCGGCCGAUACCUGAUUAGCUAGUUGGGGAGGUAAAGGCUCACCAAGGCAACGAGCAGGAGCUGGUCUGAGAGGACGAUCAGCCACACUGGGACUGAGACACGGCCCAGACUCCUACGGGAGGCAGCAGUGGGGAAUUUUGGACAAUGGGGGCAACCCUGAUCCAGCAAUGCCGCGUGAGUGAAGAAGGCCUUCGGGUUGUAAAGCUCUUUUGUCAGGGAAGAAACAGCAGCUCUAACACAGUAUGCGAAUGACGGUACCUGAAGAAUAAGCACCGGCUAACUACGUGCCAGCCGCCGCAGUAA
rnacentral:rRNA from 1 species